AGAACAGCCAUGCGAUUCUGUAACAAACACAUCAUCGAUGCUAACAACGACGAGUUCACAGAUGUCGCAUCGUAGACAUCGCUUUUAAAAACAACGUUGCUGAAAACCGUAUUCGCUUAGCUCAAAAGCUCGUCGACGAUCUGCCGAACAACGAUGACGGGUUAUGUAGUAUAAUAUAUAGUCUGUGUCAUUUCAAAACUUUUCAAAACCAAAACAAACAUUUUGCUCAUAACUUGAUUAUAUCUUUAUUUAUCUAAAUACGAAAUUUCAAAGCUCCAAAUGGCUUUAAGCGGUCAAGUGGACUUUAAAAAAAGUUGUACCCCUAACCAACGGCAUUCUACUUGUCCUGUGUUUUAGUUUGAUUCCAAAACUAUCGAAAUGUCUCGCAACGUCGUCCUUCGUUGAGUCAGCUGGAAGAGCUAGUAAGCUUUUUGGAAAACAAACCAUGUUUGAUUAUGAUGGGCCCAUGAUCGUACUGCAAAUGCGAGCAGUCAUCAGGCACGAUCCGAAAACAACAGCCUCAAACAGUGACGUAGUGGGUGUAUGAAAAUAUUGGAGCAGUGGUGUAAGUACUGGAAGGACAAAAAGGAGCAGUGCAGAGGAAGUCCAGUUCAAUUGCAGCUGCGAGGCAACAUGAAGAAUUUGCCAGAACUCGGUGUAAUUGAGUUAAAAAUACAUUUCAUUAUGUGAGGAGAAUGUUUUGGAAUCUGAAUUUAGAUAAAUAAAUCCAUGUUCAUUAUAAAAUACAAAAUAAUAAAAAGACAUGUUGAAUUAAAA
rnacentral:lncRNA from 1 species